rnacentral:rRNA from 1 species
UGGUGUUACUGCGAAGGGGGGACGGAGAAGGCUAUGUUAGCCGGGCGACGGUUGUCCCGGUUUAAGCAUGUAGGCUGGUUGUCCAGGCAAAUCCGGAUAAUCAAGGCUGAGGUGUGAUGACGAGGCACUACGGUGCUGAAGUAACAAAUGCCCUGCUUCCAGGAAAAGCCUCUAAGCAUCAGGUAACAUCAAAUCGUACCCCAAACCGACACAGGUGGUCAGGUAGAGAAUACCAAGGCGCUUGAGAGAACUCGGGUGAAGGAACUAGGCAAAAUGGUGCCGUAACUUCGGGAGAAGGCACGCUGGUGUGUAGGUGAAGCCCCUGCGGGUGGAGCUGAGACCAGUCGAAGAUACCAGCUGGCUGCAACUGUUUAUUAAAAACACAGCACUGUGCAAACACGAAAGU